rnacentral:rRNA from 1 species
AAUGAACGCUGGCGGCAGGCCUAACACAUGCAAGUCGAACGGAUCCUUCGGGAUUAGUGGCGGACGGGUGAGUAACGCGUGGGAACAUACCCUUUGGUACGGAAUAGCCUCGGGAAACUGGGAGUAAUACCGUAUGUGGUCGAGAGACGAAAGAUUUAUCGCCAAAGGAUUGGCCCGCGUUGGAUUAGGUAGUUGGUGGGGUAAUGGCCUACCAAGCCGACGAUCCAUAGCUGGUUUGAGAGGAUGAUCAGCCACACUGGGACUGAGACACGGCCCAGACUCCUACGGGAGGCAGCAGUGGGGAAUCUUAGACAAUGGGGGAAACCCUGAUCUAGCCAUGCCGCGUGAUCGAUGAAGGCCUUAGGGUUGUAAAGAUCUUUCAGGUGGGAAGAUAAUGACUGUACCACCAGAAGAAGCCCCGGCUAACUCCGUG